AGAGACUGGCUUACCCGAUGGGGUGAGCGGUCUGCUGGGCUGGGGACCCGAGGAGGCAGCGCAGGCACCGGGCUCUCCCUGAUGCACACCGGCUUUGCUUCACCCCACCGGGCUGAGCCCACAGGUUUUAUGGGGCUGUUCGCACCCAUUUAGCCCUUGAGUUUCUGUCUGGCUUCCAACUGCUUCAUUCCCACUGUCUUCACAUUUGGACUUUGGAAUGAUGGGAACUACUUAUCUAGCAGUCCUGGACACCAAGAUCAGGUAUCAGCCUAAAACUACAUCACAAAAGAGCCAUGUCACAGCUCCUUCAACUCCAGAACAAAACACCUGUCAUAGCUACCUUGGCCCAUGGCAAAUGAGGAGGAGGAAAGAGAUGAAUCUCCAGCUGGCUUCAUGCAGUUCCCCCUCCCCCAACACACACACAGCUGGUGGGACCUUCCCUGUGACACCACUGCCACAGGGCCUCCCAUCCAGGGCACUCACACACAUCCUAGGCCAUCAGCAGGGUCAGGAAGGACCCCUGUCCUGGCACAGACAGAAUCCUCUUUGGCUGGAUGGUUGAAAGCGGUGUGAAACCAAAGGAAAGAAAAAUCCACACUCUCUCUCCCUAGCACAGGUGAUGGCUGUAUUUGGCUCAGCUGAAUGAAGGCUGGGUGACGGGGGGUGCUCACCCUGGUACAGGAUGCCAACUCUGCUCCUGUCCAGGGGUUCUUCUGGACCAGGCCCCGUGUCCUGGCCCCAAGGAGCAGCCCCUUGCCAAGCCUUCACUAGCUUCCCAUCAUCCCCGCUCAGGAAGCUGAGCCCAGCUCCCCAGUUAGGAGCCUUCACUCCUGCUCAUGACGGUCUUCCCCGAAAGAGUUCCUGUUUCUGGGUCCACAUACCCCUGCUGCUCCUCUGGGGGCCUAGACUUUUGAAACUCCCAAGAAGUAAACCUUGUCUAUUUGCUUCCAAGCUGUUGUGUCUACUGUUACCCCUCCUCUGAGGCAAGCUUUAUAAAACACCUACUUGGUCCAAUGAGGAACAGGCCUGAGAACUAAGAAACACCAGGAAAUACAAGCACAUCACUUACAUCAAGAAAUACCCUAUACAGGAAAUUUUUAUUCUCUCUGGGAAAGGUGGUGAAUGUGGAUCUAUUAUUUUUCAUUGUAUACCUUUCUAUACUGUUGAUAAUGUUUAUGAUCAGCCAGGAAUAAAAUGUAUAAUAUUAAAAUGCAUUUGUCCAUAAAAAGUACCACUUUUUAGACUCAAUCUAUAAAAAUGGGUAUUCUGGUACUUUUAAUUGUAUACCAAAAAAUAGUAGGCAUCAUAGUCAGAAAAAAACUACUUCAACGUUUCAGGAGUCUGAACUAAUCAAGUUGCACUGCAACGAUGUAACUAUACCUGCAUGGAAGCCUGGUGUGAGUGGAAGAUUUGAAAUCACGUGGAAACGCAUCCCAAACUUCCAACAUUUGGGCAACACAGACCCAAGAUUUCUCCCUUUCAGCUCCAAUUUCACACUCUGUCCUGACCCUCUCCUUUUCUCUUUAGCCAUAGUGACAAACCAGUCACACUAUUUCAGUCGAGUCUCUUGCAUCAGGUACAGAUCUUUGGCUUCUGCUUUAAGUGGCAGGAACCGAUUCUGGAUUAUUUGAGCAAGAAUAUACCUUCUAGGAAGGAUACCGGUGGCUCAGAGAAUUGAAGGACUGGGAGGGAAAACCCAAACAGCCAACAUUUGAAAACCAGAAAUUCAAACAAAAGCACCCCAUCCAAGAUUCAAAAUACCAGGAGGGUCUAACUGGCCCAGUCUCGGUCCCAAACUCAUGGCUAUGUGGUGGGCCGAGGGGGCGGAGGAAGAACAGGACCAGAUGGAAGGAAUGGGGAGGAACAGUUCCCAAAAAGAGCAGCAGAUCUCUUACCUCAAUAAGGAGCAAGGGGUGCUGCUGAGGCAGAAACAACAGCUCCACCUUUUUGUUCAUUACCUCCAUCUUUUAAAUGGAGACUGCACUGAAGAAUUUUAUCAUUUCUUUAACUAUCUUUUCCCCUGCCCCAUGACUGCUUAAAAACACAUUUCAGGUGGAACCAGAACUGUUUAAAACA